UACGUAGGGGGCUAGCGUUGUCCGGAAUCAUUGGGCGUAAAGCGCGCGUAGGCGGCCCAGUAAGUCCGUUGUAAAAGUCAAAGGCUCAACCUUUGAAAGCCGAUGGAUACUGCUGGGCUAGAGUCCGGAAGAGGCGAGUGGAAUUCCUGGUGUAGCGGUGGAAUGCGCAGAUAUCAGGAGGAACACCGGUGGCGAAGGCGGGUCUCUGGGCCGUAACUGACGCUGAGGAGCGAAAGCAUGGGGAGCGAACAGG
rnacentral:rRNA from 1 species